GACGAACGCUGGCGGCGUGCCUAAUACAUGCAAGUAGGACGCACAGUUUAUACCGUAGCUUGCUACACCAUAGACUGUGAGUUGCGAACGGGUGAGUAACGCGUAGGUAACCUGCCUAUUAGAGGGGGAUAACUAUUGGAAACGAUAGCUAAUACCGCAUAACAGUAUGUAACACAUGUUAGAUGCUUGAAAGAUGCAAUUGCAUCGCUAGUAGAUGGACCUGCGUUGUAUUAGCUAGUAGGUAGGGUAAAGGCCUACCUAGGCAACGAUACAUAGCCGACCUGAGAGGGUGAUCGGCCACACUGGGACUGAGACACGGCCCAGACUCCUACGGGAGGCAGCAGUAGGGAAUCUUCGGCAAUGGGGGGAACCCUGACCGAGCAACGCCGCGUGAGUGAAGAAGGUUUUCGGAUCGUAAAGCUCUGUUGUUAAGGAAGAACGAGUGUGAGAAUGGAAAGUUCAUACUGUGACGGUACUUAACCAGAAAGGGACGGCUAACUACGUGCCAGCAGCCGCGGUAAUACGUAGGUCCCGAGCGUUGUCCGGAUUUAUUGGGCGUAAAGCGAGCGCAGGCGGUUAGAAAAGUCUGAAGUGAAAGGCAGUGGCUCAACCAUUGUAGGCUUUGGAAACUGUUUAACUUGAGUGCAGAAGGGGAGAGUGGAAUUCCAUGUGUAGCGGUGAAAUGCGUAGAUAUAUGGAGGAACACCGGUGGCGAAGGCGGCUCUCUGGUCUGUAACUGACGCUGAGGCUCGAAAGCGUGGGGAGCGA
rnacentral:rRNA from 1 species